UGUAUUUAGCAUGCUAGCUAACAGGGACACUUCACUUUAGCUUCCUUGCUAGCUUCAUCUGUGCUGCUGGCAAGUGAAAGUCACUGCUGGUAGAAGUGCAGCCAUUGUUACUGUGUCAGUGCAGCUGCCGGUGAAACAUCCAGGAGAAGGUAACGUAGAGGGGCUCAGCCAAAUGGCUCGUCCAGGUGCUGCUGCAGAAAGUUCAUCCUCCAUGUUGUUAACUGUUUGAGAAGCUACCUGCAAAGAGGAGGUGCUGUGGUCAGGAUAAUGUAUGCUGCAGCCACAGGAGGCCCAACCUGAAGAUGCUUGGAGCACCCAAAAAGGAAAACCCCAAGCAUCACAUUUUCAGCGGCGACUGACCUGACUGGUUUUCACAAAUGUCGGCUCACACAACUGCAGCAAGAAAUAUAAUAACUUUGUUGCAGAAAGUAAGACCUGCUGUUGCUCACUUCCAGUGUGAUCAUGUGUCUGUUGUGUGUAAGGAACUCUCUUUACCACAGAGUUUGGGCUUUUUAACAUUGCAGAACUUUAGCAAACACAAAAAUACAUCAGAGGAAAGUACCACUUU